rnacentral:siRNA from 1 species
AUGGCGGCAGCGUCUAUCGCCUUC